rnacentral:rRNA from 1 species
UACGUAGGGGGCAAGCGUUGUCCGGAAUCAUUGGGCGUAAAGCGCGCGUAGGCGGCCCGGUAAGUCCGCUGUAAAAGUCCAGGGCUCAACCCUGGAAAGCCGGUGGAUACUGUCGGGCUAGAGUCCGGAAGAGGCGAGUGGAAUUCCGGGUGUAGCGGUGGAAUGCGUAGAGAUCCGGAAGAACACCAGUGGCGAAGGCGGUUAGCUGGGCAGUUGCUGACACUGAUGCGCGACAGCGUGGGGAGCAAACAGG